rnacentral:rRNA from 1 species
CACCGCGGUUAUACAAGUGAGCCCAAGCUGAUAAAGAUCGGCGUAAAGGGUGGUUAAGAAUACUGUUCAGUAAAGCCGAGAAUCCCAGCAGCUGUUCAAUGCUUGCAAGGUAUAAAAAGCCCAAACACGAAAGUAGCUUUACAAUUUCUGACCCCACGAAAACUAGGACA